AUUUCAGCAACACAGUCUCAAGUUAAACUGUCCCAAACAGGGAAGGGGAUUCGGCCCAACCAGCUCCAGGAUGAGGUGGCUGUCAGGGGAAACCAAUGCAGCGCUUUCAUAGCCUUCAGUUCCGGCCUGAGAACAGAGUCUGUUACUGCUCAAACCCAUGUCAACUUCAUAGUAAGACUGAACCACUAAACCUCUCAGAAAUCAAGCCCUAUCCAACAACAUGCUGUGUAGAAAAUUUUCAGUGUUCUCACAGGUUUGGCAACAUUUUUGUUAUGAUGCAAUAUUUGCCUUUUUUGUGAUUGUUGAAGACAAUGAUUUGGCAGCUGUUUACAUUUUGCUUCUUGGUUUCCA